GACGAACGCUGGCGGCGUGCUUAACACAUGCAAGUCGAACGGAGUGGCGAACGGGUGAGUAACACGUGGGUGCUCUGCCUUGCGCUUCGGGAUAAGCUUGGGAACCUGGGUCUAAUACCGGAUAGUGCAAGAUGAGCUCGCGGCCUAUCAGCUUGUUGGUGGGGUAAUGGCCUACCAAGGCGUCGAGGAGUACCCGGCCUGAGAGGGUGUACGGCCCAAGUGGUACUAAGGGACGGACGAGACUGGUUCGGGGGGCAGGAGUGGCGAAUAUUGUGCAAUUGGCGUAAGAGUGAUGCACCGACGCGGGGUGGGGCAGGCAGGCCUUCGGGUUGUAAACUCCUUUCGACAGUGACGCGGUACGUUUCCAAGAAGCACCGGCUAACUACGUGGCAGCAGCCGCGGUAAUUC
rnacentral:rRNA from 1 species